rnacentral:rRNA from 1 species
AACGUAGGACCCAAGCGUUAUCCGGAUUUACUGGGCGUAAAGGGCGUGUAGGCGGCUCGGUAAGUCUACUCUGAAAGCUCCUGGCUAAACUGGGAGAGGCGAGUGGAGACUGUCGGUCUAGAGUGAGGAAGAGGAAAGUGGAAUUCCGAGUGUAGAGGUGAAAUUCGUAGAUAUUCGGAGGAACACCAGUGGCGAAGGCGGCUCACUGGUCCGGUACUGACGCUGAGGUGCGAAAGCGUGGGGAGCAAACAGG